GUGUAGCACAGAGUUGUUCAUUCAAGCUAAUAACUACCAUUGAAUACAAUGUAAAAUAAUUGACUUGGUUGUGAAAGUCUAUUUUUUUGCAUUCUGAGGUGUCAAUUUUGAUUCAGACUGAAUUAAUAACACUUCUGAAGGGAAGAAAGCAAAUAUUUUGGUUCCUCUCAAAACAUGCUGAAAGGAAAUGAUGUCAUAUUUUCAAUCUGAGUCACGUGAGAAGAAGUUGGGGAGAAGUGCUUGGAGAGCUUCGUCCGUUUCGGCAUGGGGAAGAAGGAAUGAUUAACGUCCUAUCACAUCAUCAAAGAAUAAACCUGCGCAAAGAAUGUGAAAAAGGCGAGAAGAGGUGAGACCAAUUACUAUCCUCAACCCAGCGGAGACAGUCCAGAAAACCUUGAGAAAGAAAGAGCAUCUCUUCUGACUGAAAUAAAGAUAAGAAACAAUGAGAGAACCAUACGGGAGAAGAUGGCCAGGACUUUUCAGUUCAGGAGGCAAGAGAUUGUGGAUCAGAAGCCAACCAUCGAGAACCUCAUGGAAAGAUGGCCAGCUUUAUUUCAGAUGGAAGAGGUUGAUGCAGAGUUUCUGCGGGUUACUGCAGUUCCCCUCCUGACCAGAUUUAUGGCGCACCUUGACAAGCACUCCCCGCAGCUGCUGAAGAUCUUCAGAAAGAUGGAGGGAUCACUAAAGCAAAAACUGCCACGAUCCUUGAGUUUCUUGACCAGGUAUGAUGUGCAGUAUAUAAUUAGCCACUAACGACAGCCCUCAAUCCUUCUACAUGAAGAGGAUGUGCAGAUGAUGUGCAAUUGAUGUACAUGGCAUUGUUAUUGUGUGCCAAGUUUUGCACCAUAUUCACUAUCAACCAUUUAAAAACAGAAAAACA